GACGGAGGAUGCAAGCGUUAUCCGGAAUUAUUGGGCGUAAAGCGUCCGCAGGUGGACAUACAAGUCUGCUGUCAAAGUGCAGAGCUUAACUCUGUAAAGGCGGUGGAAACUGUAGGUCUUGAGUAUGGUAGGGGUAGAGGGAAUUCCCGGUGUAGCGGUGAAAUGCGUAGAUAUCGGGAAGAACACCAGUGGCGAAGGCGGCGAUCUGGGAAGAUACUGACGCUGAGGUGCGAAAGCGUGGGGAGCAAACAGG
rnacentral:rRNA from 1 species